UACGUAGGGUGCAAGCGUUAAUCGGAAUUACUGGGCGUAAAGCGUGCGCAGGCGGUGAUGUAAGACAGAUGUGAAAUCCCCGGGCUCAACUUGGGAACUGCAUUUGUGACUGCGUCGCUGGAGUGCGGCAGAGGGGGAUGGAAUUCCGCGUGUAGCAGUGAAAUGCGUAGAUAUGCGGAGGAACACCGAUGGCGAAGGCAAUCCCCUGGGCCUGCACUGACGCUCAUGCACGAAAGCGUGGGGAGCAAACAGG
rnacentral:rRNA from 1 species